UGGCCAUGUUGGUUAACAGAUCCUCAUCUGCUGGACGUCUGGCGAUGAUCUUUAUCGGUUGUCGUCAGUUGCCAGCACGUUUACUUUGGGAAAAUUAGAGUGCUAAAAGCAGGCUCACGCCUAUAUAUAUUGCAUGGAAUAAUGAAAUAAGAUCUCGAUUUUAUUUCGUUGGUUUUAGAAAGUGAGAUAAUGAUUAAUAGGAUCAGAGGGGGGCGUACGUACUGUGGUGUGAGAGGUGAAAUUCUUGGAUCGCCACAGGACGAACAGCAGCGAAGGCGUUCGCCAAGAAUGUUUUCAUUAAUCAAGAACGAAAGUUUGAGGUUCGAAGACGAUUAGAUACCGUCCUAGUUCAAACCAUAAACGUUGCCAACUGUCUUUUAGAUGCGGUUAUUUAUAUGACUCAUCUGGCGGAUCUCGGGAAAUCUAAGUUUUUAGGUUCCGGGGGAAGUAUGGUUGCAAAGCUGAAACUUAAAAGAAUUGACGGAAGGACACACAAGAAGUGGAGCCUGUGGCCUAAUUUGACCCAACACGGGAAAACUCACCCGGCCCGGACACUGUAAUGAUUGACAGAUUGAGAGUUCUUUCUUGAUUCGGUGGUUGGUGGUGCAUGGCCGUUCUUAGUUCGUGGAUUGAUUUGUCUGGUUUAUUCCGUUAACGAACGAGACUCUAACCUGCUAAAUAGUUGGCUGAUAGCCUAGUCGGUGCGACUUCUUAGAGGGAUCAGUGG
rnacentral:rRNA from 1 species